UCCUAAUGCUGUAUGUACGUAGGGCACCAGAUAAGACUCUACAUUUUCAGUGGGCACGGACUGUCCCAUGCCUCAUUCAUACCUUUUAGGACUACAACUCCCAUCUUUAGGUUAUUGUUUAACUUUGUCUUUCUCUGCCCUCAGCUCAUCCAUCACAACCAGAGAUUUACCUGAAGGUAUCCACCAAGUCACAGGAAGACGUGACCUUGACGUGUCGAACAUCCGGCUACCACCCACCGGGCAUUGCUGUAAGCUGGCACAGCAAUGAUAUUAUUGACUUUCCUGAUCCUGGACCUUUAGAAAUAUGGGAGUCAGAAUAUGGCGACAUUCAAGCUACUCGUCACCUUGUCUUACCGGCAAUAGUGAAAACCAACCUGCUGACGGUAUCCUGCGUUGUCCAGCAUAUAUCCCUCACUACGCCAUUAUAUGCCAACUACUCUCACAAUAUUUCCAGCUAUCAACUUGUCGAAUAUCUGAACAUUCUUAAAAUCGCUCUCAUACUUGGCCUAACGAUCGUUAUCCUUCUUACAAUACAAAAGGGACGCAAAACUAAAUGAGAAAAGUGC